rnacentral:rRNA from 1 species
GACGAACGCGGCGGCGUGCCUAAUACAUGCAAGUAGAACGCUGAAGGAGGAGCUUGCUUCUCUGGAUGAGUUGCGAACGGGUGAGUAACGCGUAGGUAACCUGCCUGGUAGCGGGGGAUAACUAUUGGAAACGAUAGCUAAUACCGCAUAAGAGUAGAUGUCGCAUGACAUUUGCUUAAAAGGUGCAAUUGCAUCACUACCAGAUGGACCUGCGUUGUAUUAGCUAGUUGGUGAGGUAACGGCUCACCAAGGCAACGAUACAUAGCCGACCUGAGAGGGUGAUCGGCCACACUGGGACUGAGACACGGCCCAGACUCCUACGGGAGGCAGCAGUAGGGAAUCUUCGGCAAUGGACGGAAGUCUGACCGAGCAACGCCGCGUGAGUGAAGAAGGUUUUCGGAUCGUAAAGCUCUGUUGUAAGAGAAGAACGAGUGUGAGAGUGGAAAGUCACACUGUGACGUAUCUACCA